CCGGUGAAGGUGCAUGCUAAUUAUAAAACGUCAAUUACCUUUAAUGGGCGAAAACACAUUUGUCAUAGCCAUUUUGGCAGAUGUUUUCUCGACGACGCCCUAGUCUCUUCUCCCGCCCGCAUUAAACGCCUGUUACGCAGGCUAAGACCUGCUCUUCAACUCCCCCCAACUGGUUAAUUGAUAGUGUAUGUUUAAUUACUCUUUUACUUUCCAAACAAUUAUUAAUGUAAUCUAAU